UAAAAAAAAUAAUCUUUAUUCCUUAAUGAUGUAAAUGUUUUCUAACAUUUUUGAUAUAUUAAUUAUGGAUAAAUUACCAUCAUAUUUAUUUCUAGUACUCAUGCAUUUGUGUUGUCUGCUUUUCUGGAAUUGUUGGAAGCAUUUGGAUUUGUGUCUGCUACAUGUUUGAGAAAAGUAAUUAUAUUUACAUACUUCUUUUUAUUAUUCAAUAUGACUAAGCUUGUUAACUUCUAAUAGACCUACUUGUACCAUCUUGCCAAGAAUGGGUUACAUAUAAAGAACAAAGGACAACAGAAUAGGCGCCUUGAUACUGAUUUGAUAAUACAAUACAAAAAUGUAGUAUUUCAGCUCAAAACGGUGAAAGAACUGCUCCUUAGUGCCAGCAUCAGUGAACAAGAUUCUGUUCACAAGUCUGCCAUAACCUCGAGCAAAUCACCUCUGAAUUUUUAUUUAUCUGUAACAUAGAGAUGAUCUCUCAGCUCCCUUACAAUGUUUCUUAUCCUUACACUUAAAAAUUCAAUUUAUAGUUAACUCACUGACUAAAUGGUAGAAAAGGCAAUCAGAGUAUCAGACUUACUACUUAAGGUGGUCAGGGCUGCUGCUGAGAUAGUAAUUCAGACCACUCUAAGCUCUAGUUAAUGGUGGAAAAGGGAAGUACUAGACCAAAUUAAACAGAUUAUAUCCAGGUGGAAAUGGACUUCAUAACUUGCCAUCACUUGUAGACGUGAGAGCUACAAGUUACUGAGGAGAUCAGUAACAACUUUGCCUCCUAAGACAAGGAGAAACAAAAUUUAACAGCCCGUGAUGAUAAUCUCCAUUUCAGGCUAAGCCAGCAAAGCUCAACUGUUGGCUCAUGUGCUGAGUUCAGCUUUACUGACAUUUCCUUGAAGCAGAUGGGGAAGAGUUGCUUUGGCAGUUCAUAGCAGCCAAACAACUGAACACUUCCUUCCAAGAGGAGCUGCUGCCUCAUCCAUGCUCGUAGCCCUGUGAACUGUUAGAUGCCAUAUGAAUGCAGCAUGUGAAGGGCCAAACAGAUCUCACGAACAGGAAUCUGUCCAAAUGCUGCUGGUUAUGUCAACUCCAAGAUAAGCAGUCUGUCAAGUUUUGGAGUUCUACAGUUUAACAAAUACGAAACUUCCUUUCACCAUGCAUAGAGCCAAUAAAAAUAUGUUUCUAGUCAUUUCCACAACACAAAGAGAGCAACUAUUCAAAAAAACAUGUAGCUUCAUUAUCGGAAGAAUGGUCUGCACCACUGGUAACUUAAUAGUGGAAACCCUGGGAAAACAAUUGCAAUGCAAACAAAAGGGGGGAGGGGGGAAAAUAGUCAGGAAUUUAGCUAGAGAAAGAAAAAAAAAAAAGAGACCCCAGUCACUGUUCGUUAGUACCUUAUACUCCAUAUGGUUUCUUCCAGAAUACUCUUCCCAGUCAUGCCUCAAACCACAAUCUGCAUUUGCCUCCUUCCAAGAAUUUACAGCUGCACCUCCUUGGACAUUUGGCAGAGUAUCACCAAUGGUCCUAAUUUAGUUCAUGAGGUCCUGUGUUUCCUCAGUGACUACCAUGGAAUUAACCAGCACUUCAGCAGUAGCAGUUUUUACAAGCCAUUUCAAAAGCAGCACAUAUUUUGCAUCAUUCAUGUAUCUGCUGGAGUCUUCAUAGAGCCAUAAGAUCGUUAGGGCUGGAAGGGACCUUAAAGCUCAUCUAGUUCCAACCUGCUGCCAUGGGCAGGGACACCUUCCACUAGACCAGGUUUCUCCAAGCUCCAUCCAAUCUGGCCAUGAACACUGCCAGGGAUGGGGCUGCCACAGCUUCCCUGGACAACCUGUGCCAGUGUCUCACCACAUUCAUAGAGAAGAAUUUCUUCCUAAUAUCUAAUCUAAAUCUGCCCUCGUCCAGUUUAAAGCCAUUCCCCUUGUUCUAUGCCUACACGCCCUUGCAAAAAGUCCCUCUUCAGGUUUCUUGUCGGCCCCUUUAGGCACUGGAAGCUGCUCUAAGGUCUCCCCUGAGCCUUCUCUUCUCCAUGCUGGUCAAGCCAAACUCUCUCAGCCUGUCACAGGAGAGGUGCUCCAGCCCUCUCAUCAUCUUCGUGGGCCUCUUCUGGACUCGCUCGAGCAGCUCCACGUCCCUCUUUUGUGUCAGGGGCCCCAGAGCUGAACGCAGUGCUCAUGUCAGGUUCAUAUCACUACCUGUCACCCGUGCUUGUAAUUGUUAAUCUCCACACCAGAUUUCUCACUUUGCCCUGCUCUCAGGUGAGCAUCGAUGGAAGCGUUUUACAGGGGCUUUGUUGAAGUGUGUAAUUAUAGCAGCUGUCUCUGUUAACUUCAAUUCCUGACAUCUCUGCCUGUUCACAUACUUCCCAACAUAAAUGUCACCAGCUCCGGCUCUCCCCAGAGCCCACAGGCCUGGCGUUUCCCACUCUACCCAGUGCCGGCGGAGGCGGCCAGCGUGCUCAGGUCCCUGAGGAAGAGCCGCCUGCUUCCUCCCUGAGGGGCUCGCCACUUAAUUACUUUUGCGAGGGAAGAAGGCAGGGUGUGUGUGUGAGCGGUUGGGGGUGCCUGUCCCUCCGCCGUCAGCCGGGCACGUCUCGGGAAGACACAACCGCGGCCGGGCGCCCGCGGAGCCG
rnacentral:lncRNA from 1 species